UGUAAACGUUCGCGCGGGUGUGUGGUGUAUAAUAGUGGUUCCAAUUCUUGCAAACCUCUGCUUUCCCCACAAUCGCUAAAAAAAUGAAAUUUCUUCAAGAAAAACUUGUGGUCUUGCGCUGAAAUCCGCUUCAAGGAUCAUUGUCAACAC